AAUCACUGGAAGUUUUUUUAAAGUUUUUCCGCAUAUUAGAUCCUAAUGACCAAAACGAGAACCAAUUUGAUUCCGGGCGCAGUAAGUUCCGAUGUUCCGACUCUCAGGUUCCGACCAGCAGCAACCGGCAGCGCCAUAUCGACCUCAUCACGCACAUGCGGCGAUCGACGAUUGUACAGCAGACAGCAAGAAUGGAAACUGAUUCCUGAACCAUCGGUGGAGAGCGCUCACAGCUGUGAGUCGCUGACCGGAAAGGCUGUGAUGUUCAUAACAGGUACCAGUCUGAACUAUAAAUCCUCCAGCAACCGUUUCGGUUUGGCUAUUGGAAGCUCUCGGCCUGUCGGCCAUUCGACGCGCCCAAAAUUGCAUGUCUCACGAACUCAAAUUCGGAAGACCUCUGCUGCGCUAGUGAAAAUAACAACGACACUCAACUUAUCAAUGGAUCUUAACGCCGACAGGUGUCAACUGACCAAAGAGACGGAAUAAAUCCAGAUAGAGGCCAUUCAAGAUAGAGCAAACGCAAAUGGAAGACGGAUCGUAAGCGCGGAAGGGGAUGCUGAUUUAUUUUUGUACCAGGAACAAAUUUGUUUUGAUGAUAUUCAAUGCUGCAUCUAAAAUAAUUUCCGGAUUGUAGAGUGUUGACUUGAUUGAUGUUUUUGCAAUCUGUGCCGUUCAAAAUUGAUUGGUACAACAACAUCCGGCAUAGUUACCACCUGGAAAGCUGCCACCAGUUACGGAAAAAUCUCCUCAUCCGUAGUUGAUGCUUGUCAGUUAACUUGUUCUCAGAUGCUU